rnacentral:tRNA from 1 species
AGUAGAAGUAGUUUAAAAAGAAUGAAAAUUUGUCAUGUUUUUGGUGCUGGAAAGUCUUUUAUUG